UACGUAGGUGGCGAGCGUUGUCCGGAUUUACUAGGCGUAAAGGGAGCGUAGGCGGACUUUUAAGUGAGAUGUGAAAUACUCGGGCUCAACUUGAGUGCUGCAUUUCAAACUGGAAGUCUAGAGUGCAGGAGAGGAGAAUGGAAUUCCUAGUGUAGCGGUGAAAUGCGUAGAGAUUAGGAAGAACACCAGUGGCGAAGGCGAUUCUCUGGACUGUAACUGACGCUGAGGCUCGAAAGCGUGGGGAGCAAACAGG
rnacentral:rRNA from 1 species